rnacentral:rRNA from 1 species
UGCAAGUCGAGCGGUAAGGCCCUUCGGGGUACACGAGCGGCGAACGGGUGAGUAACACGUGGGUGAUCUGCCUCGUACUCUGGGAUAAGCCUGGGAAACUGGGUCUAAUACCGGAUAUGACCACGAAUCGCAUGGUUUGUGGUGGAAAGAUUUAUCGGUGCGAGAUGGGCCCGCGGCCUAUCAGCUUGUUGGUGGGGUAAUGGCCUACCAAGGCGACGACGGGUAGCCGGCCUGAGAGGGCGACCGGCCACACUGGGACUGAGACACGGCCCAGACUCCUACGGGAGGCAGCAGUGGGGAAUAUUGCACAAUGGGCGGAAGCCUGAUGCAGCGACGCCGCGUGAGGGAUGACGGCCUUCGGGUUGUAAACCUCUUUCGACAGGGACGAAGCGCAAGUGACGGUACCUGUAGAAGAAGCACCGGCCAACUACGUGCCAGCAGCCGCGGUAAUACGUAGGGUGCGAGCGUUGUCCGGAAUUACUGGGCGUAAAGAGCUUGUAGGCGGUUCGUCGCGUCGAUCGUGAAAACUUGCAGCUCAACUGCGAGCUUGCGGUCGAUACGGGCGGACUAGAGUACUGCAGGGGAGACUGGAAUUCCUGGUGUAGCGGUGAAAUGCGCAGAUAUCAGGAGGAACACCGGUGGCGAAGGCGGGUCUCUGGG